AAAUAGAUACCCCGGGGUAGUCCACGCCGUAAACGAUGAGUGCUAAGUGUUAGGGGGUUUCCGCCCCUUAGUGCUGCAGCUAACGCAUUAAGCACUCCGCCUGGGGAGUACGGCCGCAAGGCUGAAACUCAAAGGAAUUGACGGGGGCCCGCACAAGCGGUGGAGCAUGUGGUUUAAUUCGAAGCAACGCGAAGAACCUUACCAGGUCUUGACAUCCUCUGAAAAUCCUAGAGAUAGGACGUUUCCCUUCGGGGAACAGAGUGACAGGUGGUGCAUGGUUGUCGUCAGCUCGUGUCGUGAGAUGUUGGGUUAAGUCCCGCAACGAGCGCAACCCUUGAUCUUAGUUGCCAGCAUUCAGUUGGGCACUCUAAGGUGACUGCCGGUGACAAACCGGAGGAAGGUGGGGAUGACGUCAAAUCAUCAUGCCCCUUAUGACCUGGGCUACACACGUGCUACAAUGGAUGGUACAAAGGGCUGCAAGACCGCGAGGUUUAGCCAAUCCCAUAAAACCAUUCUCAGUUCGGAUUGCAGGCUGCUAACCG
rnacentral:rRNA from 1 species